AAGCGUGAGCAACUCAGGUUUUAAGCGCGUGAAUAUUGAAAAGAGAAGAGCACAAAUACUACACCACACCCUUAACUCCGACGACUUCUCCAUCUCCACCACCUACCCGUUAUUUCACUUUCACUCUAUAAAUGCUCUGUCACUGCCUCCACCAGACUAUCAUUAUCUCGGCUUGUAUUCAUCUAAAACCAGUCAAUAUUCAUUCAUGAAAAAAACCCAACCCAACGUUCCUCUUUCUCUACAAUCACAAUCACUUUUGACCAAAAAACAACAGUCAGCCAUCACUCUUCAACAUCACACAUAAAACAUCAAGAAAACCCAUAAAAUAAAGUAUUCUUUUAAUUUAGGAUGUUCUUAGUAAAUAAUUAGGAGGACCCAGUAGCAUCUGGUUAAAUUGAAGAUAUGAUAAGCCACAACAUCAAUCUUCUCUUUUGAUAAAAUGAGCAAUCAAGAGCUUUAUAAGUGUGAAAAUUAUGAAAUCUUUGAGUUCAAUAGUGAUGGAAAAUUGUUCAGUUAUCUCAUUUAAAUUGUUCAAGUGGAGGGUGCUCUAUUAUACCUUCAUUGGAUUUAUUUCCGUUGAGAAUGGAGAAAUGACAGUGACAGUGAAAGUGCACAAAUGGGUCUAAUGAUAGCGGGUUCAUCCUUCGGCGCCUGCGGUUGCAUCUCCCGACGAGGAUGAGGUCUUGUUUCUAGACCCAGAUCAGCUUGAGAUUCUGAGUGUACCAACUGAACUAGAUCCCAAGAAGAAUCACGUUAUGCAGAAGGGCGCAAAGGCGAGGGAUGAUCAUGGCUUAGAGCCCCCUCUUAUUAAGAGGAAAAAAAGGGAUGGAGACGAAGGCGAGGGCGGUGGGAAUGAUACGAGCCUUAGACCUAAGGAUAGUCUUAGGCAUAUCACAUGUGAGACCCAUCCUCGAUAGUGUAUAUACAACAGUGUUGUACAGUUUAAGUAAAUAUUAUAUAUUUUUUACGUAUCUA